CCUACGGGUGGCAGCAGUCGAGAAUCAUUCACAAUGGGGGAAACCCUGAUGGUGCGACGCCGCGUGGGGGAAUGAAGGUCUUCGGAUUGUAAACCCCUGUCAUGUGGGAGCAAAUUAAAAAGAUAGUACCACAAGAGGAAGAGACGGCUAACUCUGUGCCAGCAGCCGCGGUAAUACAGCGGUCUCAAGCGUUGUUCGGAAUCACUGGGCGUAAAGCGUGCGUAGGCUGUUUCGUAAGUCGUGUGUGAAAGGGGCGGGCUCAACCCGCGGACGGCACAUGAUACUGCGAGACUAGAGUAAUGGAGGGGGAACCGGAAGUCUCGGUGUAGCAGUGAAAUGCGUAGAUAUCGAGAGGAACACUCGUGGCGAAGGCGGGUUCCUGGACAUUAACUGACGCUGAGGCACGAAGGCCAGGGGAGCGAAAGGGAUUAGAUACCCUUGUAGUC
rnacentral:rRNA from 1 species